rnacentral:lncRNA from 1 species
UAUUGUUAAUGUCAAAGUUCAAACACAAACAUGCAAUUGUUUAAAGUUCAAACAUAUUUUUAACAUAUUAGUUUUAUUCACAAACAAGAUUGCUAUUAAAUAAUAAAAUUUAAAAUUUCAAGAAUUUAAUUCAAUAUUAAAACUUAAGAAACUAAACAUAAAUUUAAGAAUUAUAUCGAAUUAAACUAAAUAUUACAAAUGUAUCAUCAUUUAUAUAAUUUGAAGUUGGUACAAGUUCAAAUAAUUACAACUAUAAUAAAAGUAUCUACUUUGACUUGAUAUUGUUCACUUUUUGUUUUGAUUUGAUAUACUAUGGUAAAUCAUUAGAAAAAUAAAUAUAUUAAAAUAUGAUUUGGGUAGUUAUUAAAAUAAAAAAAAUCUCUCCACCUAGGCCCCGCCUAAUUUCCUGGAGAAAUUUUUUUGCCGCUUUAGGCCUAGGUGAGGCGUCAGGGGGACCUAGUGGCCAUGGCGAGGCGCUAAGGGGGGACCUAGCGCCUAGGCGGGGCGCCAAGAGGGGUCUAGCGCCUAGGCGGGGCGCCAAGGGGGGUCUAGCGCCUAGGCGGGGAUUUUUAGAACACUGUAUAUGCCUACAAUAUGCCAUUCUAAUCUCAGAGAAGCUUCAUAUAUCAGUAACUAUUUUUCUUUCAAAAUUUUACUCAGAUUUGAUGUCGAGGGAUUUGUUACCGGAUUUGGUAAUCCGGACUGGGCAAGGACACAUGAAGCUGCUUCUCAAACAUCACCUGUGGUUUUGGCCCUUGUUGAAGGCGGCUCCACAUGCAUUGGGAAAACUAUUGUGGAUGAUAUGGCAUUUAGGUUUGUACUUGACUGUUCAACUUUGAUAGUUAUUCUCUUUUUGAUUUGAAGCUUUAGAUUUAAGUGGACUUUUUUACUUUAUAUUAUACAUAGGCAACAAUUUGGUUCUCCCUUUAUAUUCUUGUGUCUUAGUGAUAUUAUAUAUGAGCUCAUCUUUGUUGUCUUUUUUACAUAAUGUUUGUUGACUCUCACAUGUUCCAUCUCCAGUAUUGGUGGAGAAAAUAAGCAUUAUGAUACACCCACUAAUCCUGCUGCUCCUGCACUGGUACCUGGAGGAUCAUCCGGUGGAGCUGCUGUUGCUGUUGCUGCUAAUCUUGUUGAUUUCUCUCUGGGUAAGGUUCUUAAAAUUAUAACUUAUUGUCUAUUAUUCUUCACGCCCCCAUUUAAAGUUUCUUAUUUUCUCUGCAUGUGUUAACCCAAUUUUUAACUCAUGUUGAUUAACUAUGUGCGUGAAUGUGUAUAAAUAUAUGUAUAUUUAUCUUUCUUCACUGUCAAAAUCUUCUCCUUUUCACUUCUCUUUCCUUUGCACCGUACACUCUACAAAUACAUGCCCCCCCCUAAUCAUGAUUCAUUUGUCUUUGACUCUUUGUUCUACCAAAUAUUAAACAUUAUUGACAAUGAUUUGAAAAUCGAAAUUAAUAAGUUGAGAAUUAUGGUUAUGGCAAUGAAUCUUGGAAUAAUAUCAAAAUUGUAUCAUACAUACGUGUCCAUAGGAGUUUAGAUAAGUUACUGCAUCACACUGCCAACUAGUGGAGCAGCUGCCGGAGGCUCUACGUAGACUCCAUGUUAGGGUUCACCCUCAUGUUCAAAGAGUUUGUCCUAGCAAUACUGACUUCUUAAUCAAAUUACCAUAUCCGCAAUUUGAGUGCACAACUUUAACAGUAAAUUUAUACAAUAUUUUUCUUAGGAAAAAAAUCAGGUUGAACUUUGUACAGCAUUUGAUAGUGACAUCAUCGUAUAGUUAAAUAUAUUUACAGAAUGAGUUUCAGAAAUAUUUAGAAGUAGUAAUAAACUCGAAGAUGGCUAUUGGGCAUCUUGAUGCUUGAUCACUUGGGCACAUUGCUCAUGAGCACUGGACAUUGGAGCAACACAUUCUCAAAUCUCAAGUAGUCAAAACCUUUUGGAUUGGUGUGCGAUGAAGUAGAUCAGUAGACUGGAUAAUCAAAGUUUUUGGCUGAGGCCUACUUUUGGUGGUAAGUGCAUGGAGCCAUGAACUAUGCAUCUUUUUUAUUAGUGGACUUGUUCUUGUAGGAUUUGUGAGUAAUUUGUUAAGCACAAGGGCUCUUCUGAUCAUCAUUAUCCUUUCACUUUUUUGUAUAUGAAGUCUUUUAAGUUGGACAAGAUUGUAAUUGAGGCCUACAUUUAUGAUUUUUGUCUAUCAAUUGACAUGAAGUUCCUAUGCCAUUACUUCUAUUUUAAGUAGAUUGAGUACUAUCAUAAUAUCAUCGCACUUAGAGCUAAUGUAGGACAUAUGUUUGGAAAAAUAAAAUUUUCCUUAAAAGUCAUUGUAUUGAAACACACACAUCACUAUAUCACUGUAUGGAAUCUAAAACUAAAAGUGAGAGAUGAGAAUUAGAUAUUCAAUUGAUCAAUAUAUUGAAACACAUCCAUUCACUAAUUUGUUAUAGAAUAAUAUCCAGAGAGUAUCAAUUAUAACUUUCAUCUUGGCCUGUAGAAAACCAACAAGAUCUAGAAGGUUUUAAGAUGCAUCAUAUGCAUCAGAUGCCCCGUGGAAAUCCUCAAUACCUUCAGAAAUUAUAAUGACACUAAUAAGAUUGAAUUUUUUAAAGGAUAUGAUUCAAACUUACGGCAUGGCUGUUGAUCCUUAAAUUUGGCUUCAUUAUUGUAGUUUGUUACUACCUGUGCAGGAGUGGUUUUCCGCGAAGUUAUGCUCAAACUUCUUUUAUGCUAUGUAUUAAAUCUAACAAGCAAGAUGAAUAGUUAUUUACUUAUUUUAUAUCUCUUUCUAUAUCAGUGCAUAAUCUUAGAAGGAGCUACAUUUGUAUGAGAAUGCAGAGCACUGUUUUCCUGAAUAGUUGAUGGGCAAAUAACAUUGUUAGUUAGUUUUAUAAUAUUUUAUUUUUGGACUGAUUUAUAUUGAGAAUGAAGAGCACUGUUUUCCUGAAUAAUUGAUAGUAUAUGACAGGUGUUGAUACUGUUGGUGGUGUGAGAAUACCUGCCGGAUAUUGUGGUAUACUUGGGUUUCGACCUUCACUUGGGGCUGUUUCUCAUGUGGGGAUUAUUCCUAUUUCAACAAGUCUUGACACUGUUGGUAUGUACUGUGAAAAUUGUUGGUAUCUCAAUUCAUUAAAUUUAAACAAUGGACUAAACAAUAGUAAAAAAGAUAUGGAUAUUGAAAAAUGGAGAGUAAUUAUAAUUUGACUAAAUUAACUGUAAUCAGAAUGUCCUGCAACCCUUGAAAUUGAAAUCUUUUACUCUUUUUUCUCCUAGGCAUACAUUUACUGUGUUUUUUGAUCACAUUCAAAAGUGUCUCAUUUUAAUUGAUUUCGACUUUUGAGACACUUUAUCUUUCCAUAUAUAAAUAAAAAAUGGGAAUCCAUCACUGGUAUAGUUUUAUUGAGUUGGAGAAACCCUAAAUAUGGCCCUCCCUUUGUUCCAACUGAUCGACAAUGCAGUCUGUCAAACAGACAAGGUAUGCAAUGAAGCCUGUGUAUUCUAUGUAUGUGUUGAUUAUCCCCCAAGCGAACCAUUUAUAGUUGAUCGAAGGAAAACCUAGACCCAUCUCUUUCAAACGCUAUAUUAAUGUGUGUAUACACAUAAAUAUUAAUUAUCCAAAAAGUAUAUUUUGUAUAUAUUCUGAAGAGUAAACAUUCACGUAUCCUCCUUUUUUGUACUUUCUCUCUCGUAUCUAAUAAAGUUUUCUUUUACCCAAAUAAAAAAUCUGUCUGUUACAAAACUUAAGAUCAUAAAAUUAGUAUUUUGUAAGUUCUUUGCAUGAAUGAGAUCUUUUUUAUCUUUUACCUCUCAGGAUGGUUUGCAAAGGAUCCAAACAUAUUGAGGCGGGUUGGACAUGUAUUACUGCAAUUGCCAUUUGCAGUUCAAUGUAAUCCAAGAAGUGUUGUUAUAGCUGAUGACUGUUUUCAACUAUCAAAGAUUCCUGGCGACCACAUCUCUCAGGUGGUGAUUAAAUCCACUGAGAAGCUAUUUGGAAGUAUGUUUUCCAUUUUGUCUUCUUUCAGAUAUUUGUUAUAUAUUUUUCACUAUAUUUUUACUUUCUCUUGGUCAAUUUUUCUGCAUACUUCCUUACUAAAACUGUUUUACUUAUCCCCCCCAAAAAAUUAAAAUUGUUUUCAGGACAAGUUUUGAAGCAUGUGAAACUUGGGGAUUAUAUUGAUUCUAAAGUUUCAAGCCUAAAAGCAUUUCAAAGUAAGAAAGCAAAUGGUGAAGUGAAGUCUUCUUCACUAAGAUUGCUAGCAUAUGUAAUGCAGCUACUUAGGAGGUGAGUUUGCUAAUGUUUGGAAAAUCGUUAACAUAGUAUCUCACAGAUAAAGCUUCUGAACUUGUUUUGUUUGUUUACUCUUUUAGCAACAUUGAUCUUUUAGUACUUCAAUUAGUUGCAAUUGUAUCUGGAUGCAACCUACUUUGAUUAGUUAUGUAACAUGUGGAGUUGCUUAGCUAUGGAAAAUUGCUCCUUCCUCUUCCUUCCUCUCUUUCAGACUUUCAUUCUUUGCUUUUUAUUUUGUAAGGUUCUUCUUUUUUAGGGGAUUUCAAAGAGGGGAGGAGGGGGAGGUAUGGGUGUUUGGUUUGUAGCUAUAGGUUAUGGUUGCCUGAUUAUGAAAAAUAAGUGAGUUUUCUUUUUGAAUUAAUAAGGAAUAUGUAAUGGACAAGAAGCAUUAGAAAAAUUAUUUUCAACAUUUCAUAAAAGUUGUAAACACAUUGGACACAUUUGGACAGUACUGAAGUGAUGUAAAUCACUAAAUUGUUUGAUUCUAAAUUCCAGGUUACUACACACUACUGGUUGCAGUUCAAAGAGUUUAAUAUGUAAGACAAGGGGAUAUACAUUACUUAAUUAGUUUGUUAUCAUUCUACUUUUGUUAGCUUUCAUAUCUUUAUGCCUGUUGAAAUAUAUCCUUGUAUAAGGAGAAAAGUGAUGAACAGGAUAUGGGCUACGUGGUGCAAGUAUUUUUCGCAUCAUCUCACCUAGUUACUCAUCCCUGAUCUUUCCAAGUUUAAGAUCUUACCUAUUGCUGGAGAUACUAAGAUACUCACAUUCCUGAUAACUAAUGGAAACUCUAAUUUGAGAGCCAAAAUAUAUUGUUUGGAGUAAAAUUUACAUGUAUAAUGAGAAAUAGUUAACUUUCAACAAUUUUUUAGUUAAUGUUUGUUGUUAUGGCCAUAUGUCUUCUGCAUGCAAUACAAAAUUUGAGCAAUUCAUCCUGUUAUUUUGUUUUUUCUGACUCUAUUGCACCACAUUUGACAAUCAAUUUUGAUAAUAAUAUCUAAAGUUACCAGUUUGAAAUGGAUAGUUAGGUGUCUCUAAUGUUUCUCCGAUUUUUCGGAUGAGAAGAUCUAUUGAUCUCUGAACUUACCAAUCCAAGUGUUUUAUCUUCUUUCACGUGGUUAUGUCCUAACCUUGUCGGUCGAAACUAACAUAUAUCUGUUUGGUCAUGGUAUGAUCUUGUACCUAAAAAUUAGAGUAUACUGUAAUUGUUCGUGUUUGUAAAUUGUAAUGCAGGAUAUCUUGUAUAUUAUGUCAUUUCAGUUAGCUCAAGAAUUUAUCUGUUGAAGUUAUAUUAUUUCCAUCCUUGUGACACAGACAAGAAUUCAAGCAUAAUCAUGAAGAUUGGAUCACCUUUGUGAAGCCUACGCUGGAUACUGUUGUCUCAGCGCAAAUACAUGAAGGGCUGGAUAUAACAGAUUUGGAAAUUGAAAACUUCCACAGAGUUAGGAAUGACAUGCGAUCUGCUCUUAAUGUCCUUCUGAAGGUAUGGGGUUGUUAAGUUUGAUUCGAGUAUUGCUUCAAACGCGUCAACAAAAUAGUGGUUCAUGUAGUAUUUCUUAAUGAGUAUGAAUACCUAUAUAUUAUUCAUGUACAUUUCUGGGAUUGUUCUCAUGUGCUGUUUAGUUUAUUAACUAUUUCAUUUCCUGAAACUGAUGAUAGGAAUUGGUUAUAUUAUCAAAGGGUUUGUAAUGUUCAGGUCAAGGUCCUUAAUCAAGGAACCAAGUAGACCCCUAUCUAAUGCAAAAUGCAAAGCACUAUAUGUUCUCAUUGUUUCAACUUUCAACUUGUCCAAAAUUUUCUCGCCUUGGUUGUGUAUUUAUGAUCUGAGUGCAAAUAUUUUUACUAAUAUUUAUUUAACAAUAGUUUUGGAAACAAAGUUCACUUUGAAAUGCAAGUCCUGCAUCUUACUUGUCUUGAUGUGCAUGAAGUUUCUUGUUUUUUGCCCUGUUGGUCUAGCUUAUCUAACAAUUACAUCUUAGAACCUUUCUUCACUUUUUACAGUUGCAUGCUGCAUUUGUUGCUUAAAAUUUAAAUUAAUUAUGCUAUUUAUUUCAUGACUUGUACCUGUACAAACUUGCUCUACUUUUGAGUGGCAUGUCACAUGGCCCUAAUUUAAUAAAAAUCAGUUGCCCAACAUUGAACAGAAAUGUCUUUAACUUUCGUUGUAUACUUGUAUUACACUUCUUUUUUUUUUGCUAAAUAUUGUUUUUAGGGCCGUAAAUGGUAACCGAAAAAUUCGUAUUUGUCCGCAUCCGCAUUCGAAAAAAAACGGAUAUUAUUCGUAUUCGAAAAAAAUCCGGAUAUAUUCGUAUUCGGUUUAAAGGUAUCUGCAAAUAAACGGAUACGAAUACGGAUAUAGGCGUAUUUGUAUUCGUUUAACAUCCGACUGUAAAUAUAUCCGGCAGAUAGCGGAUAUCCGAAUUCGAAUCCGUAUCUGAAAUUCGUAUCCAAAUAACUUAUAUAUAUUAAUUAUUAUAUAAUAAGCAAAAUAAUUUUUUUAAAGUGGCAUUCCUUAUAUAAUAAUUAGUUUUCACUAUCAUACGAAAAUUAUUUUAAAAAUAUAUCAUUUCACUUCUAAAAAGUAGGAAAUAACACUUUUAUUCUAAUAUUAAUAAACUGAAAUAAAUAGAUUUAAGUAUAGUUAAUAGAUUUUUACUAUUAUAAAGUUAAAAUACCUAAAAUGUAUCAUUUACCAAGAAAAUUAUAUAUUAGAAGAACAAAAUUAUAAUUAUUAGCUUGUUAUAAGUUUUUUAUUUUCAAAACUUACUUGCAAUUUUGGGAGACGGGAACAAUGAACAAUAUAAUUUUAUUGUUAAAAUGUGUUAAGUCCGAAUUAGUUUAGAAUUAAGCCCAAUUAUUUAAAAAUUAGAAGUCCAAAUAUUUAAAGUAAGUCCAAAAUAAAUUUUGGAUCAAGUUGGAUUAACUAGUUGUCAGUUGUCACAUAUACAUUAUAACUCGCACUUUCCAUAAAUAUAAUGAAAUAAAAUAAACUUUUUAUAACUAUGUAAAUUGUAAUCUAUGUAUUGAGUAUAAAUUAUAAAUAAAAGUUAUCAUAAACAUAUUAUUAAAGUUUUAAUCAAGUAUUUGAGAAAAAAAUAAUUAAAUAUUCAAUGUAAAUUUUGAAUCUAAUUAUAAAUUAUAAAUAUUCAUAUACAUGUACUACAUUAUUACUUCACACACAUAAAAUGGACAUCUAAACAUUAAUAAGUAGAGCAUUCAUUUUGAAAUUUUAGGAUUUCAAAAAUGAUGAAAACUUAUUUGAAUUGUAAUUUGAAAUAUUGAUUAUUAUAUUUAAAUAUUUAUUAAAAAUAAAUAAAUUAACAUUCAUUCAUUAGUAAACUAUAUUUUAAAACUCAUUAUUUUUUUAUUCUAGUUAUAGUUAGGAACGUAAAUGGUAACCGGAAAAUUCGUAUUUGUCCGCAUCCGUAUUCGGAAAAAACAGAUAUUAUUCGUAUUAAAAAAAAACCGGAUAUUAUCUGUAUUCGGUUUAAAGAUAUCCGCAAAUAAACGGAUACGGAUACUACUGUAUCUGAAUCCGUAUAUAUCCGUUUACACCCCUAAUUGUAUUACACUUCUGCUGAUCAAUUGGCUUGAGAUUUUCCCCUGUAGUCAUAUGUAGUUAUUGUAUUCUUUCUUUCCCUCUCUAUUCCCUCUUCAUGGGUCUAUCACAUAUUCCAAUUAUUUUGGUAAAUACAUCAUCAGACAACUGUAACCUUUGCAUCACGUCUUUAGAUCUGAGAAGUUGCGGCAAACACUGCAUGCCAAUUAGAAUAUGAUACCAGUUUCCUGUAUCUCAGUAGAAUCAGGUGGCUGCUGUCCUAAUCGGUGUUAUUGUCUUACUUUCUUUGAAUGGAUUGUUGUUUACUUUCUGCAUUUUGUUAAUUUGGAUUUGACAAUUUGGACAGGAAGAUGGAAUUCUAGUGAUCCCUACAGUUUCAGGUCCUCCUCCAAAACUUGGUGCCAAGGAAAUUUCAUUGGAAGACUAUCUGAUGCGUGCAUUUACCCUGACGAGUUUAGCUAGCUUGUCGGGUUGCUGCCAGGUUAUACUCUCUCUCUGUCUGUCCUCUAUGUUGUGCCCAUACCUAAGCAAGAGAUGUUAUCAUAUUUAUAUUUUAAAGGGAGAAGAAUCAACUCGUGGUUACUUAGCAUUGUGCCUCUGUUACUUUUCUGCUGGGAAAUAAUGAAAUCCUUACUCCUUUUGUUCUUCUGUAUUUUGUCAUCAUCUUCUUUUAGGUGACGGUACCAAUGGGAUUCCAAGACAAAUGUCCUGUUUCUGUGUCCUUCAUUGCAAGGCACGGGGGUGAUCGCUUCUUAUUAGAUACAGUACAAAUGUUGUAUGCAUCUCUGCAGGAGCAGGCUGAUGUAGCUGGGAAAUCAAAGUCGACUAGUAAUGUUGUCAGCAAGGAAGCUUCUGCUGAGAUUGCUAAAGAAAAGGUCUAAAUUUUUUUUUUUGUUGAUUUUAUUACAAUUCUUUUUCUCUGUUAUUUAUUUGAUUACAAUUUAUAUGAGUUCCAGGAUGUACUAAUUAGUUAUCGCAAUGAUGUAAUGAUUUUAUAUGGUUUCCAUGAAUGUAGAAAUUAUUUAUCACAAUGAUAUAAUGUAUCCUAAAAUUUCACUUUUCAUACGGGUUCCUUAAAUUUAGUAAUUAGUUAUCACAAUGAUUCAAUGUAUACUUUUUCUACAUCUUUCAUUUUCAUCCUGGUCACUCUUUAAUAUUUUGACUCAGGGUAACCAAGCUUUCAAAGAAAAACAGUGGCAGAGAGCUAUUGGCUUUUAUACAGAAGCUAUCAAACUCCAUGGUAGUAAUGCAACAUUUUACAGUAACAGGGCUGCUGCGUAUUUGGAAUUGGGAAGGUACCCUUUCCUUCUUUCGUAGUUACUGCUUCAACCUAUAUAUUAUAAUGAGAGUCCCCGUUUUUAAUGGGUUAUCUUGUUCUUGUUCUUGCUCUUUUUUCUUUUCCAUCCAGCUUCCUCCAAGCUGAAGCAGAUUGUACAAAAGCUAUUGAUCUUGAUAAGAAGGUAAUUCUAUUGUCAACAAGUGAUAUGUUGAUAGUGAUAUAAUUUAAUAAUGAUGCUGACCUAUCCAAAGCUAAAGUGUGUUAAACUCGCCUUUCUGGCUCUAGCAGUGGACUAGAUAUUAUUUCACCAUCAAUAAGUUAAAAGAGUAUUAGAUGCAGUGGAAGUAGCAUAAUGGUAAACAAAAAUAGAAACACGUACAUCAUCUAUUAAGCAUGAAAUGUAUAUCUUAUGCCUACCGUGAAACUUUUACCUUUCUAGGAUUUCAGUACACCACAUCAUUUGUCAAAUGAGAAAUUUAUUUACAAGUUAAAUGCACUUUGCAUCCCCAAGUUUGUCCCAUUUUGCACAUUGCAUCCUAUAUUUCAAAAUGUGACAUUUUGCAUCCUGCAUUUUUAACAAACCGUCACAUAACACUCUUUGACCUAAAAUCCGUCGCUAAAAGUGCAAAAUUGGACACUUCUCCUUCACUUUUAGUGACGGAUUUUGGGCCAAAAGGUGUAAUGUGCCGGUUCGCUAAAAUUGUGGGAUGCAAAGUGUCACGUUUUGAAGUAUAAGAUGUAAUGUGCAAAAUUGGGUAUACUUGGGGAUACAAAGUGCAUUUAACUCUUUAUUUAUUUUAUCUUAGCAAUCUUGCAAUUUGUUAUUCUUCCAUUACUAGCUUAUGAGGGCUAUUCCUAAUUAAUUUGCAUAGUUCUUAUACAAAUUCUCUUGUUUUUAUCUCAUUUAGGAUUCUCUCUAAAGAACUAAAGAAAAAGAAUUCUAAAUAGAAAUAGAAUCUCAUUUUUUUGUUUAGAAUUUCUAAUUCCAUUUUUUUUAAAUUCUUAUUAGAAAUUGAAAUCCAGUUUUAUUAUCUUUAUAUAGAUCUUAUGGCCAACUUGGUGUGGGUUAAUAUGAUCUUGUGGGCUCCCUCCCCAACUUACUUUUGGGGAUGGCUCUCUUGAGAUCAUACACAAUUUACUGUUAACAUGGUAGUUGAAUUCCAUUAUCUUGUUUCAAAAAAAGAAAUCCAUUAUCUGGUUUAUGAUGCGCCUAUGAUUAGUUUCUAUUUUCUUUGGACACAAAAUAUAUGAUGCAACAUAAGAUCAAUUCAAAUAUAGAAAACCAAGGGAGUUCAAACUCUUUUUAGUUGCACGAGGAGGGAUAUCUAAGAUGCUAUGGCGAUUUGGAGUUUGCAGUUCCUUUGGGGGUUUUUGGAAUGAACAAAGUUGGAGUUUGCAGUUCUUUGGAGGUGUUUGGAUUGAACGAACUUCCAGAAUUUUGAAGGAGCAGCAUAUUUCCUUGCAUUUGUUGAGGCCUUGAGGAAAAGUUUUUGAAAUCUUGCUUCUUUGUGGUCAACCACCAUCACAGUGUUUCACAUCCUUUCUAUUUCAGAUUUACAUAGGGAUUGGAGGGCAGCACUUCAUCAAGUGCUGUCUUUUUGUUUGUUUCCUUUGUUCCACUUUGGGUGGACUCCUUGUCUCUCCUCGUAUAUUUCCUCUUCUGUAGAUAAAAUCUUCAUUUUAAUCUUCAUUUUUUUAAAUCAAUGACAUGGGUAAAAAAAAAUGCUGGGCGUAUUCUUGGGAGUCUCCUCAGGCAGUGGAUAUCCUGUCUAAUAUAAAAUGUUGUGUAAUAUUUGUAUAGAAGUGUGCGAGUGCAACCAUAAUACUGUGGUUUUUCUCUCCUUUUUUCACGGUGUUUCUGUUUUAUACUAAUAUGCAUUGUUCUCAGUAAUAUCGAGCAACUCAUAUUUUGUACCAUGUAAUCUUAUUCAGAAUGUGAAGUCCUAUCUAAGAAGAGGCACAGCACGGGAGAUGCUUGGCUACUAUAAAGAGGCAAUUGAAGGUUUGUAAUCAGCAAAGUAAUUAUGUCUCUAAGGAAUAUAGACUAAAUUAGCGAAAAGCGUUUACUCGUACAGGUUCUUAUGUCGUUCGUCAUGUUUCUUGUCAUUUGGGAAAGAGAUUUCAUUUGCUUUAUUUGGAAAUUGAUAUUUUCACGAGCAAAAGUGAUAGUUUCACAUGGUCCUUGCGUGAAAAGUAAAUGAGCCCCACACUCGUGCGAGGGAACUUGUGGAAAUAUCAAAAUUUACUUGUGGAAAUAUCAAUUCUCUUAUUUUAUUGUUUGUAACUUUUGAAUGUCUGACUUGUACAAAUAGUAUUGGUUUGGCAGCACGGGAUGUUUUGAAGAUUUAUUUUUGUCCUGAAUCAGAAGUUAAUGGCUGACUUUUUCCAUUCUGCAGAUUUUAGAUAUGCACUUGUUCUUGAGCCAACAAACAAAAGAGCAGCUACUUCUUCUGAGAGGCUAAGAAAAUUGUUUCAGUAGAUUAUUGGAGUUUAUCCGUGGACGCGUUUCUGUUACCCGCUGCUAUCGGUUCCUAUCGCAGAGUCCUACACGGAUAGAUUUUGGUUGCCGGACAUCUCAAAGUUGAAGAGAAUUCAGUUGUGUCUCGGGGCAUUCUGAGGCGCCUGUGGAACUGAUUUUGGGGCAUAUCGAGUUUAGCAGCUGGCCUUUAUAUUAUUGCUUUUAGUUUGUAAAAUAGUCCGAUUUUGUUUUGCUCAAGAUGUCAAGUCAAGGCAUUACAUCGAGUUUGUGGCUAGGACCACCAAUUUUUCGACGAUAGUUAGUUUAUGAUUUAAGAAAGUGUAUAUGUUGCAUCUUCAGUUGCUGAUCUACUUUGCUCCUGUGCAAUAAAAAUAUGUACCAAAGAAAAAAAAGUUAAAAAUGAGAAUAUGCAUGAGCCAGUUUACAAAAGGAAUUUUAUUAGGAAACUGAUAUUUUCACACUUAUGGAUCAUAUAUUAGUCAAUAAAAAAUUGACAUGUCAGUUAAUAUGAGUUAUACGCGUGAAAAUAUCAGAAAAAGUAAUUUGGGUUGUAAGUGUGGAAAUAUCAAAAAAAUGAUGUGAAAAUAUGGGCCAGGCAACGGGGGAGGGUAUGGUCCGGGGACUUCUCACCACUCACCCCACCGCCCCCGCCUAUUAUUGUGCAUAUCCUAUAUCCGCCCACCCUGAACAAAGUGUCCCGCUGAUCCUUUUGAUUUUCCGAAGCACCAAAAUAAGAGUAUAAAUAUUGGGUAAUUUUUCAGAGAUUUCUAGAUAAGUCGAACAAAAUAGUGAUAAUUUUGUUUGGAUUUUGAUAUUUUUACGAGGUCUCUUUCACGUGAAUUGCGAGUGAGAGGUUAUGGAAAUAUUAAAUUUUACUUGUGAAAAUAUCAAUUUCCUUUUUCUUUAACAAAACUUGAGAGGCAUCAUAUUCAAUUAUUCAUUCAUCAAGACAAACACACCAUCAUGAACAUGACAUAAUUGUUCUGUUCCUGUUUUGAUACUAUUUAUUAACCAUUUUGUUUUCUAGUGUAAUUCUACUCCAUCUGGUUCCAUAUAUAUUGCCACAAGCAUGUUAUUAUCAUCAAUUCUCUCAUCUUGCUCCCAAGAAAAACAGCAUUUUUUAAUAUUUCACCUGAAAUUAAUCCGCCUAGUGUCAAAAUCUGACUAUGAGAGUACUCCGAGACUUUGAACACAUAGGAGUUCCAUUUCGUCAUGACAAAAGUACACAGCAAAUUACAUAUAUAAAUAAACAAACAAAAUUCUAAAUAACUGCCCAAGAGUUCUGAUAAUGUUUCUAAAAAAUAGUUAGUGUGGUAAUGAAAUUCUCCUAAAUGGCUAAUAUAGAAUAAUAUAAAAGGGCCGGGGGUGACAAUUCUCAAACCUACCCCAACUCUCUAUAGGGUCUUCGAAAUCGGAUCCUAUUAGGGUUGGGGUCGAUUGUCACAAUAGCUAAUAAAUGGCAUGAGUGUAAUUUACUCCAAAUGCGAGGUUAGUUUGGUUUUAAUAAGAAUUAUAGAUGUUAGGAUAAUUUCCUAUAUAUAUAUAUACACACACACUCUCGUUUGUAUUCAGAGAGGGCAACUAAUGAAAUAUCAAUAUUCAUGUUUCCUUCUUUUUGCCUUUAUCAUUUCCUUUAUCUGUUAUUUUUUUUAUCAUCUUGUUCAAUGUCAAUUUAUGAAUAUCCUUCUUAUUAUCAUUGCAUGACUGGUUAUAUGGAUGUUUCAAACCCAUUUCCUUACAAUUAUAUUGCCAUGGCUAAGUUUCAAGCUCCACAAGGCCUCGAUGGUUCGACAAUCAUGAAACCAAAUCGAGUUAAAUUGUCAGGCCUAUGUAAAUCUAGUUUGCCUAUGUAAACCUAAUUUCCCAAGCCCAAAGAAACAUAAAUUUGACUUUAGAUUAUAAACUUAUGAUACAAAUGCUACACUGCUUUCAGAUAAUGAAGGAUUGAGAAUCAAGUUCCAAAAUAUAAGAUCAAAGUAAUUGAUGCAUGUGUAGCCGUCUCAACACAUUUCAAAGGCUUUAAAUAGAUCUGCCCUUUACCACUAGGAAAGACUAACAUUUAGAACGUGAAAUUGAGACAAGGCACACUUAGAAGGGGGUUGAAUAAGUGUGGGAGCAAAUUAUGACCAAUUUUUAAACUUUAAAUUCAAACUAUUGAAUAUAGCUUACUGUAUUGAAGAAUGCAGCUUGCUGAAUGAAUGUAGUCUACCGAAUUAAGUUUUUGUUUAAGAAAAUAUAUUCGUGAAUUUAUAAGUCAAAUAGAAUACUUGGUGUUAACACAAUAUCUCAAGAUGAAGCAAAUAUUUAUAUUUUUAAUUAUUGAAAAAAUUAACUAUCUUGAGAAAUAUUAAAGUAAAACAAGCAAUAAAAUAACACUAAGAUUUUUUUACGUGGUUCAGCUAUUACCCUCUAUAAUAAUAGCCUAGUCCACGUCCAAUACCAACUAGUAUUGAAGACUCACUUUUAUUUCUUUAAAUAUCUUUUGUUACAAAAUAGACUCUAUCAAAUUGAAUUACAAUAAUUCACUUGAGCACAUUUGCUCCUUGUGCACCAAUACACCCCUUAAGCACCUAAGCUUUCUUGAACCUAUUUGUAACUAAACCUUAAUCCACCCGGAUUAAAAACCUUUAGACAACACUUAGUCUAAAAAUAUAAGAUUACAAUUAUAGAGGUCUAAUGAUCAAAGCAAAUAAAUAAUUUAACAAUGCAAUGCUCAACUAAUGAAUGCAAUGAUCAAGUAGUAAAAGUAAGAGAUAUCACCAAUAUGAAGCUCACGAAAAUAGCUGAGAAUAAUAUGAAUAUAAUUUGCACAGCAGCUGGAAAUUUUGCACCGAAAAUAAUGAAGUUGCUUUUCAAGUAUAUGAGUGCAAUAAUUGGUUAAGUGUUGUCUUUUCUACUGAAAUCAAUUCUUCUUUUUAUAGCCCAGAAAACAACCGUUGCAAACAAAUUAGUUCCGUUACCAUCUUUAAAAAUUAUUUCCAUUAAAACCAAUUUGAAAGGUAACUCAUGUAUAACAGAUGUUUGUUUAGACUUUUUCAAAGGCAGUUUAAUAAGAUAGAAAUUGUUCCAUGUAAAUCUCAAGUCGAAGAUAUUAUCUGUUUUGACUUCUCUAUUAUCAAGUCUCCUAUCAUGAUUACAAUUCUGCGCCACUUUCCAACAAAUAUCAAUUCCGAAGCAAAAGAUAUCAUAGCAUUAAUAUAGGAGUGUUAGUUACGUAAAUAAAAAGAAUUGUAGAAUGAACCAACUUUCCAAGAUAAUGAUUAUCUUAUAUUUCCAAGAUAUAUGCACUCCAAGUAAUCAUGCCUCUACUGCCACCACCUUUUAAGUAACCAACAACUUUUAAACUUCGACAAAUUUGUUGCACACGUGUUUAUAUAGAUAUUUCUAUAAAAUUAAAAAUCUAACACAUGACAAAUAUCAUUUAAUUAAUCUGGACAAUAAAUUAUCAUCUUUUAUUUUACGCAUGCAUAAUAUAUAAAUACCAACCAACUAAGAAAAAUCAAUUAGCAUAAAAUCUCAGCCAUGCACAAAAUAUGUAAUCACAUUUUAAUGCACAAAUAAAAUGUCCUAAAGCCUUGUAUUGAAAAAUCAAAUAUUUGCAAUGACUUUACAUAAAAUUCUUAAGACUCAAAUCUUCAAAGUCUUUCAACAAUGAUCUUUCAUCAACUUCCUGAAAUUUCACAAUAGACAAAUUAGUCUAUAAUAUUAAGUCAUCAUCAAAAUAAAAAGGUUAGAAUAUUAACAAACCAACAUAACGGUUAAAGUUGGAGAACAUAACUUUCAGUUUGUUUACUCCUUUUUUCACUUAGGCUAUGUUUGUUUGCAAGUUAUCCGAGAUUAUACUCCAUCAGAUUAUAAUCUUAGGAUUAUAAUUAUAACCCCAAGACCAUUAAACCAUUUUAUAAUCCCUAGACUAAUAGUAUCAAGUCUAAAUUUGAAACAAACAAAACAUUUGGACCUAUCCCAAGUAUAAUCCUUGCAAACAAACAUAACCUUAAAGUAUUUAGUGUCGCUAUAAUAAUUAUAAAAGUGCAGCUAAUUUUAUCAUUUUAACUGACAAUAUCAAUUGUCUUCCAAAAAGAUCAUAACGGCUAUCAAAUCAAGCCACACCAAAAGUAAACUUUACACAUGUUAGUAAAAAUACAAGUUUCUGAGCUGUUCAUCUGUGAGAAUUCAGGAAAACCAUUUACAUGUUUAUCUAAAAGUUUCAAUUUUGCAUCUACACCAGAUAAUAAAAGUGACUACUAUCAAAAGAGAAGGCCAUCAUCAUCAAAAUCACCAGCAAAAAGUUCAUUUAGCUGUUCAUCUGUCCACUGGGAGAGAAGCUUUCGAUAUGGGUGGCUGUCUUUGCUUCUGAAGUUUGUCUAUUCUCUGAACUUCAUCACUAUGGUCCCCAACCAAGUUUGUUGCAGCACUACUAUGUAAAAGUCUGUCUGACAAAUUAUCACUCGUCAGCCGCUUUUCAUUGCUGUCCAAAGCCACUUGAUUAUCAUCAGUAAUAUCCAUUUCGACUGCUUCCUCAAAGAUUUCUUUGGCAGGAGCACUCUGUGUAGCGCGUAAGGAUUCUUUCCAUAUACCAGCAUUUUGGUUGUUGCAGUCGUCACUUCUUGAGAAUGGAUUUCUCUUUUCCUUUAGAUUAUUGAAAUUCCAACCGCCUCUAGCAUUAGCAUCUUGACUGAUGCCACUGACCUCAUUCAUGAUUCCUUCGGUUCUUCCCAGUUCCUGAGAGAAUGUCUUCUGUAACAUCCUCAUUUUUCCACUGCAAUCUGAUUAUGCAAAUGCGUGUGUCAGUGAUUAGGCAUAUAACCAAAAAUCAUUUAAAAGUGGUAGUAGAGCAAGCAUAUAAACAAAUCACAAGUCACACAUGACAAUGGAUGAUCAUUAAUGUUGUAAAGAAUGCCAUGUAAGAAGUUUAACUUGUCGUCUAAAAGACAAUGUAUUUGACGAAAAGAAACUUGCUACCCACCAGGAGGAGGAGCAUAUAUUACUCUAGGCGCUGGAUGAGUCUGCCUUAAUGAGGGUACUAUGUCCUUACCAAAUACCUGCACAUGACAAACUUAUCAUUUCAAGUAGAGCACAAAUAGUUAUUAGAGCAGUUUGUGAAAUGUAGAGACACAGAGACUCAUUGUACUGAAAGCUACUAUAUAAUUCACCUAAAACAUGCUUUGUGCACAAAUUUCAAAAAGUGAAGUUGCUUAGAGUCCACACCUUAUAUAUAUGGGGGGUAUAAAGAAUCGUUCUGCUUGCAUAAAUUUUGGGAACGGACAUUGCUUAUGUUGUAGACCUCUGUACAGGCAUAAGAAACUAUAUUUCCUCCCCAUAUAAAAGUUCAAAUCCUAUAAUUUCAUGAUUUGGUAAAACUGUAGAAGUUGAUCUGAACAAACUACAAACAUCUGUAUCUUACUAAACAUCUCUAUCUUUCGAGCACAAAUCACUUGAUCAUGAUUUACAUGUUUUCAAAAAUCCCAAGUACUGAUUAAGGGGCACGACAAUGCCAUUAAUAUGGUACAAUAAUACCACAACACACACCUAAUGUGCUUUCCAAAAACUAAUAUGGCAUUAUCAAAAACUGACAUGGCAUUAACAGUUGCCUUAUUUAUUUAGUAAAUCAUCUAACAGCUAUCUUCAUGCCAAAUUCAGAUAGAGCUCCAACUGUCCAACACAACAUUACAGCUAAUAAUUCAAAUAAACCGAAGUUAUUGGCAUUGAUAUGAAAUAAUGAAUUAUCAUAAAUGGCAGAGAACUAUGUUAAUGCGACCAAUUUAGUCUACUUAAAUCUCUAAGACCUAACAAUGCUAGAAAUAGUCAGUACUUAAUUUUGUUCUUCCAAACAAUUCAUACUAGAAACAGUAGACAAAGAGUGUGGGGGGAGAGGGAAAACAUCAAGAAGGAAAGAAACUUUCAACUACUUGGUGACCAAGACUGAACCCCAAUUUAAAAACAAAGAAGUGAAAGAACUUGCUAAAAUCUAAAUCAUACAGCACAUGAGGCUUUUCAUUGCAUGUCUCUCUACAUAAAAGAAGUUUUGCUUCAAUAGACGAAACCAAAUCCUAAGUUUGUCUGGCUGAAGGCUAAUAAAAGUAAAACAUCAGUGAAGUGUAUAUCGCAUGGAAGGUUUACUUUAAUUCAGCAUGCUUUCCUUAUAGUAUAUGCCUUCUCAUGCCAACUAAUCAGUCUAAUAGCAGUAUUGAAAAAAAUGUUCACCUUUACUACAUUUCUCUUUGUUAUGUUGAGAUAAGGAGUUUUCCCUGAAGGUGCAAAUACAGAAACCUGAAAUACCAGCUCCAUUAAUUAGUAACAGAAUCUUAAAAUUGGAGUUGGAGACUGAUUGAUUUUCCCCAUAUUUAAACUGACCAAGGUUAUUUCUACAUUGAAUAAUUUAUAAAGAGAGAAAUUACCUUCUCAAGUAUCAAAACUGAACUCACAGAUAUUUGUUUUGCAAACUCACUCUCAGAAAUGACUUUCCGAUGAAUGCUACCAUUAAUUGUACCAGUAGGAUCCUAAACAAAAUUUUUAACCCCAUAUGAGUAACAGUUACCACAUCAUCCACAUUAUUCAUAGUGAUCUACUUAAUACCUUCAGUGUCACCAUCAUAUCACCAAGACCAUUUGGUGUGCAAGACUUGAUAACUGCAACAACCUAAUCAGACAGACCCAAAAGAAUAUUUUUAAUUUUUUAUAUGAAAGGUAAUGUUCAAGUUGUAGAACGUUAUAUACCCACACCCACAUAAACUACCAUGACCAAACAAAAUAGCUUGUUAUGCAUACACCUAAACCUUAAUAUGCGUACAUAAUUAUUUAUUAAUAUAAUUUGGUUGUCCUUAUAAAAUCGUUUCCUUCUCAUAAUUUCAUUACUGAGUAAUUGUCACAUCAUAGACAUUUCCUAAUACAAGAUCAUAACUCAUUUUUAAUCUCAAAAAAAAAAAACAGAAUUCACCUUUUAAGGUGUCAUAGUAAUUAUUAAAAUCAAUCACAUCCAUGAUUUACAAUAUAACAAAAUAGCUUGUUAUACAUUUACGUUUACAAAAAUAUGAAGGGGUUGGACUACACAGUGAAGGUAGCCCUCGACCUUCCACUGGCCAAGAUUCCACUAGUAAAAACAAGUAGGGUGGAAUUCAACUAUUAUGAUUUAUGCAGGCCUUUGAUCUCAGUUAUACACAUCACCUAAAAAUUCAUUUAAAUUUCAAAAUAAAAAAAUAUAUUAAAACUUAUACAAUAUUUUAACUCAAUUUAAAUUUUAAAACACAUUCACAUAAUCUUAGGUGCAACAAAACUAUCCAUGAUGACAAUUUAAAUUUUAAAACACACAUUCACAUAACCACUGCAUGUUUAGGUGCAACAAAACUAUCCUCGGUGAUUACUUUUUAAAAUUAAAUUCAAUUACAGGACUCCUACAAUACCUGAUCCACCUUGACCUGACUCUUAUUUACAGAGCUCAAAGGCGUACUUCCAAGAACAAAAUCCUCAGAACCUUACAACCACCAAAAAUAAAAACAAAAAAGAAGCUAAAAUUCAUCAAUCAGCAACUACAGAGAUUCUUAGCUUAAACCGAAAACGAAAAAAUGACUUACUUUGACUGGUGUUGAGUAAUUUAAUGGCGCGAAGCCAUGGAUUCCCCUUAAAAUCCUCGUCCUCCAGAUAAAAUUCCUCCGCAUUUUCCACUGCCCUCCGAAUGUACUCCUGGGUAGGCAUUAUCGGUUCCUCUUCCGAACAAUCGUGACUUCUCUUUCUGAUCAUGGCGGCCUGAAUUGCGCCUGCGGGCCCCGGAAUAAGCCGCCGAGGCGGCGCGGUGGUUGUGGGCGGUGGGAAAUGGUGGGAGGGGGAGGGAAUUAGGGUUUGAGAAGAGAGAUUGUGAGAGAAUUGGUUGAUUUGGGGAUUUGGGUGAAUGGAGGAUUUGAUGGCGCUUUCUAUUGUUAUUGCAAGGGCGGAGGAGAGAAGGGAGGUCGGAAUCGUCUACGUCUAGUUCUUUCCACGCCUCCAUUUGCUCAGAAGCAAAAGCUAAAAGCGCGGGAAUGGUAUUUUGAGUUUUUGACCUUAUAAUGAGUACAACUGAUACUGAAUUACAAAUGUGACCCUCCUAUUUAUCCUGUUUUUGCAAAGGUAUUCGGUCUCGGUCUCGGUCUCGGUCUCGGUCUCGGUCUCGGUCUCUCAUAGAUAAGAUGUAAACAAGCCAAUAUAGUUCGGACUCGAUUCGAGCUUAUGAGCGAGACUCGGAUUCGUUAAUAAUAUGAUCCAAAUCUGAGCAUUAAAAAUAGUUCGAAUAAAAAUAUGAGUAGAAUCUGAGCAAGGUUAUACUCGACUCGUUUAAGAUUCAAACUACUCGAAUUUUUGAUUGUGAUUCGAUACAUACUCGGUUAAUACAUAUUCGAUUAGUUAUUAUUUUGUUUUGUUUUUAAUUUUAAUUGUGAUUUUAUAUUUGUAAAGUGUAGUAAUAAAUAUAUUUUCUCAUUUUUAAGUAAAAUAACAAAUUCAAUUUAUAAUUAUAUUUAUUAUAAAACUAGUUAUUAUGCGGAGACUCGAAUUCGAGCUUGAAUUUGAAGCUCGCGAGUAGUUUGAAUAAAUAUUUGAGUCGAGUCGGAUCGAAUUCGAGUAAUAAAUAUUCUAGUCGAGUCGAAUCUGAGUAGGAUUUUUUAAAUAUAAUUCGAAUCCGAUCCGAAUUCGAGUACGAAUUUAUCAUUUCGAAUCGAAUUCGAGUAGCUCUUUGUUCGCUCCGGUUCGAUUCGUUUACACCCUUACUCAUAGAUGUAUUAGUUGUGCAUUCAUCUAACUUUUUUGGUCACUAAAAAAAUGAUUAUUUUAUUAAAUUCUAUGGAAAAGGUUGAGUAUUAUAUUUCUCUGUCUAACGUAAUGUUAUUAAUCAUUUUUAUGCACAUUCAUUAUUGAAGAGAGGGUAGAGGCCAAUUUGGAUGUUUCAAAUUAGGGUUAAAAUUCAUUUCAAAUUAGAGCUAAAAUCCAUCUCAAUUAAAUUGUAUUUUGUGAAAUUGAAGCUGCAAGUAGUAGUUAAGUUUUAAAUUAGUGGUGCAGAUGAAGUGGAUAACCCGAUUGCCAUCUUAAAAACUUAAUGACACAAUCAAGUAGUAUGGAUUCUCCAUGGUGAUUAACUUCAACGAAAGGAGCAAAUGACAUGUCAUAUUUAUUGGUCAAAUAUGUGGUGUCAAAUGUGAUGACAUCACCAAACUCCUCGUAUGCAACUCUAGACCUCGAAUCCGUCCAAAAUAAAGUUCUGAUCCGAUUUUCCUCAUCUGCGUCUAUCACAUAGAAAAAGUUAGAAUCAACUGCCUGCCACCGAAUAUAGUAGUUCUUCAACCCGUUCCUAUCCUACUAUUCGAACGACAGGUGUGGGAUUUUGGGCUUUAGCAAAUUUUGGAUUUGUAAAUUGUAUGUAUAGAGAAAAAAGAGAGACCAUAUGGUAUUACUUGCGAGGAAGGAAGAGGAAGGAAAUCAACAGAAGAAGAAGAAUUUGUUGGGUCUAGGUUUGUAGGAGAAGGGGACAAAACGACAGAAAAGAUUGCGUUUUGGUAGGGAGAAAGUAAAUGAGAUGAAUGUAUAGAUUUACUCAACAUUUUAAGCUUAAACCAAUUAGGGUCUUAAAAUUCUUCUUUUAUUUUUUUAAUAUAAAAAAAUAAUAAUAUUAUUAUUUGUAUUUUUGGCAUAGCAUUUCUCAACCUAUGCCACAAAAUGGCCAAACGUGGCCUCCAUGUUGAAUACAAUAUUAGACCGGGCGGCAUUCUCGCCUCGUAAAUCUCAUCAUUCCCAGCCAAAACAAUCCACCCACAAACAUCUCCCCCAAAUCCUAACCAUUACAUAUUCGGUAUUCCCUCCACCAAAGUCCCAUUUCUCUAUUAUUUCUUCUCUUUAUCUCUCCUCCCUCUCCCCUCCAACCUCAAGAAACUGACUUGAUCCAUAAUUGAAUCUCCCAAAAUCAAUAAACACUCAAAACGUGAGUACACCUCUUAAAUUCCUUGGUGGGUUUCGUAAAUAAUUAAAUUCCCAACAGUUGCAAAACAUUCAUUUGUCUGUUUCUACAAUUGAAUUGAUUAAUUAAUUUAUUUUUCUAUGAUUUUUGUUGGCAUUUACAGAGAACACAACAGAUUGGAUUAGCCAGAAUUUGAAGAGGGUAAAACUGCAAAUUGUUUGAUUUAAUUGUGGUGGGGUUUUAUAUUUUAUUUAGUGGUAAUAUAUAAAGGAGAGAGGUAGAGAAGGUGAUGGGAUCACCAACUACAGGGAAACCGGCUUCAUCUUCUUUAAUGGAUAAUUUGUCGGGUCUUCUCAGAAUUCGGGUUAAGAGGGGUAUUAACCUUGCUGUUCGAGAUAUCAAUAGCAGCGAUCCGUACGUGGUUGUUAAGAUGGGUAAACAGGUCUGUCUUCUGUUUUAAUUUAAUUUUCGAACUGGGUUUUGCUUUUAGAGUAUUUCGUUUUUGAAUUUGUUUCUUUUUUGGGUAAGUAUUUCGUUUUUGAAUUUGUUUCUUUUUUGGGUAAUGUGUUAUGUGUAUGUGUUGGGUUUUUAUGAUUUUGGAUUGUCUCUUGGAUAGGAAAUGUAUGUGCGGUUUCUUUCGAGUUGAAUUGAAUUUGUUUUUGGUUAUUUAAUGCUGGAGAAGAAAUUAGCCUUUUCCCCUUUUGAUCAGGAAAAGUUUAUUUAAUGUCUUAAUAUUAUUGUUAUUCUUCUAAUAUUUAGUAUGAAAUUGAAUUGUUGCUCUCUUCUAUUGAAAUGUUUUUCUAGGUGAGUGAUGGGAUUUUCCUCCAAAUGCUAUGAAAAUUAUAAUUUCAGAUAAAAAAUUAUUUUUACUUAUUCUGUAACUCUGGAUUACAUGAAUAAACACAUGAUAAGAAACAUGACUUCUGGUAUUAUAUAUUAAAGAUUCAUUUCUAAAAUGAUAAGAGCAAUGUGUUUCAGGUAAUAAAAUAGUUUUUAUUGUUUUAUGGUACUUCAUAAUCUACCGUUUAAAUUUUUCUUAGAAUGCAAUUUUUAUAUAUUUUUAAUUCUUACUUUCUCAAGAAAGCAAGUCUUAAAAAUUUUGGAUAGGUAAUUUUGGCCCCAAGUAUGGGGAUUGUUGAGAUGAUUAUUCAAGGCUUUUGCUAUUUCUCCUACCCUUUGGGGUCUAACAGGAUAAUGUUUUUGGAGAUUUCAAAAUAAUUCAUUGUAGUAGUUAUAUAGUUCACUAAGAUUUGUACUAUGAACAUGACCGCUGACAUUGUUUUAAGAAAAACCUGUGCGAAUUUAGAAAAAUCCUGACUGUGAAUGGAGUUCAAAACUGAGUCUCUGUAGUCAUUGUAACCAAAUAUAUACAAUGGUGUUACAAUUUGAAUUCUGAUUCUUAUUGACAUAGGCUUUUGGAAGGAUGUAUCCGUUUGCAAAGGACAUCCUUUUCCAAAAGAUUUCUAUUCAUAUAAACAUUUUCAAGUCUAUAUUUAGAGCAACUUGAAACAUUCUCAUUAACACUUAAAUAGGGUAAGGAGUACUUUACUUCAAUUACCUCCCCCAAGACACAAACCACGACCUCCUUUUCUUAUUCCUCUUUUUUGUUGCAUCUAAACAUCCUGUCUAUGCAGGAUUCUUGAUGACUUGUAAUUCAUUAAACUGAUAUCAAGUUUUGAACUUUUUACUACACUAGACCACCAUGCUUGGUCUUGAACAUGAUUUCGUUGUAUUGUUCCUGAAAAUAUGUCACAGCCCCAAUUUGUAUCAUGUAUAAUAUGGAUGUGGUCAAAACUCGUUUAAAAGAAAGUGAAGUAAUUUAAUUUCAGUUCACUUAUGUCUAUUUUACCAUUUUGUUCAAAUACGCCCCAACGGUAUAUUGUCAUCAUAAUCUCUCAUGAUAUGAUUUUACAAAAAUUCACAAUCAGUAAUUCAGUAGUUUUCAGUAUAUUUUUAUUUAUUCCAUCAUUAACUUUGAAAUUUUCCACUUUAUCUAUGCACAUGUUUGAAUGAAUUUUAUGGAGUGGAAUUCUAAAGGCACUUAGAUCUGACAGAAAUUUUUUUGUUUUGUUUUCUUUCUCUUUUAAAAGUAUUAGAAGUGCUUAUUGAUCUCCAUUGAAUGGUGCCUUAAAUUAGUGUUUUGGAAAUCAGUUAUUAAGUUUCAGUUUUUGCUCUCCAUGUUGAGUGAUUAGUAAACAUCAAUCGCCUUCUGCCAUUUAUAACAGAUUCCUUGGUUGGAGCCUUCAUUUGUCCUUAAAACGAAAAAAACUGUAGCCAGUGUUGCCAAUGUCUUCUAUAAAUGCAAACAUCUAAAAGAGAAGAAAAAACAAAGAAAUCAGAGUACAAAAUCAAUUAGAAAGUAAUUUAACCUGAACUUAGUGCUUAAGCUUGCAUUCUCUUGUGCUUAACAGCUUGACGAAUCUUUCCUUUUUAUAUGAAAGUUAUAUAAAUAAUGCUAAUUAUAGUAACUUUAGUAAGCAUUUACGAAAGUAGAUCAACUUAUUUUUAAACGUUUCUAAAAAAAUGCUAUUACUCUCUUAUCUAAAUAUGAAUGUCAACUUUUGAUGCAGAAACUGAAGACUCGUGUUAUUAGGAAGGAUGUCAAUCCUGAGUGGAAUGAAGAUUUAACUCUUUCCGUUCAAGAACCUAAUAUUCCAAUCAAACUGGUAAUUUUUUUGUUUCUUUUCUGACCAAAUGACAUGUUACCCUAUAAGACUAAGAACAAGAGUACUAUAUAGCUGCACCUAUCUUCAUCAUGCAUUUUUUCGUUGUUGAAAAUUGUAUAAAUAAAUUAAAUAUUUGUAUUGCAAACACUGGUAAAUUCUCUUAUGAUUAAACGUAGAGUUUAUUGCCUUUUGUUGUCCUAAAUUUAUUCAUUACGGAGACUUGAAAAGAAAACGAUAAUUUUUAAAAAAAAAUAAUUACAGAAGUUUUAGAUGGUUGAUGCAGACUUUGUUGUUCAAUUGAACAUGAGAAAGUUUAUAUGAGCAGUUAAUGUUGACUCUAUUUUUUAACUGCUACUCUACUUUUUAGCUAGUAACGUUUGCCUUGUGAUUUCUUAUUAGGAUAACAGUUUGAAGUUAAUGCACAUAUGUAUAUGCAUAUAACUCGGAUAUCUGACUUUUUUUAAAAAGACUAUAAAUUGGAAAUGAUAAAAUGGAAAGUAGUACAAACCAAUACCUUAUGUCUUGUAAAACAAGAUUAAAUUACAUAGGAGCACUUCAGUCAAGUUCAUCCCUUUAGAUGUAGGUUGUGGUGAUUCUUUCUUAUUGAUGCACUUUAUUCUUUUGGCUGCCAAAUUUGCUCUUAAACUUAAUUGCCUAAUCUGUUUUCUUAGUACAUUACCCUGAUAAGGAAGAAAGAAAAAAACAGAAAAGAAUCUUAAUAAAAACCCCGAUUUUUUCAAGUUGGUAUUGCAAACUUUAAGCACCUAUGAGGAAUGUUUCGCUGGCCAUCCAGGGGUUUGUCUUAUUUUAGGCUUUCCUUUCAUAAUUAGGCUUUGAUCUCUAAUGUGAAGGAGUGAAUGUGUUAACUUCAUGUAGGUAGUGCCCCUGAUGUAAUGAAAUAAAUUUAAAUUUCAAGCUACCUUCAUUGUCUCUAUUCUGACAUGAUCACUUGCAUACUAGCUAGUUUAUUACUAAUAGUGUCAGUAUUGUUAGAUGAUUGACUUUUUCUAAAAAAAACAAAAUUUUUAAAAAUCAGUUUGAAGGAGAAGAAAAUGUAAAAGUUUAUUUUUAAACGGUAUCACUAUGUGUUCGUCAUUGAAUUUUAAGAAAUUAAACAUGGCUUCCUAUUCUUGUAAAAGGUUUAUUUCUUUUUCAUGUGCCAUUUUGAGCCUCAGAACCGUAUUUUCUAUUUUUUUUGGUAACCUUGGAGAUUUGAAGCCUUGCUAGUUUCUUCUUUCCUCCUGUAUUUUCAAGUUUCAACUAGGGAAGGUUGCAUUAUUCCCUUUUGUUUCCCCUUAACCUUCUCCUCUUGUACCAGGGGACUUCUUAAACCAUAUUCUAAGGUUUCCUAUUCCUCUCUUGCAAUAUACUAGAUAGUUCGUAAAUAUGUUUUUGACUCAGGUCACCAUCUUCAUAAAUAACCUAACCCCAUCUUCUGCUCUCUCUCUCUCCCNNNNNNNNNNNNNNNNNNNNNNNNNNNNNNNNNNNNNNNNNNNNNNNNNNNNNNNNNNNNNNNNNNNNNNNNNNNNNNNNNNNNNNNNNNNNNNNNNNNNCCCCUUGCAUGUGAAAAAAAAGAGUAGUGUUAUAAAAUUUUAUUGAAAAAGUUAUCACUUAAAUUCCAUUUAUACUACCAUCCUAUUUUAUCUCCUUAAUUUUCUCUCAUAAGUUUUACACCACGUUCAAUUCACAACACUAACAGUUUACAUCUCUCCUCUAUCCCGAAUAUAUAACUAACUUUAGAGGGUAUGAAAGAAAACAAAAAAAGGGUUUCACUUUGAUAUUUACACCAAAAGUAACCGUCAACAUCUUUCUUCCGCUUUAUAAUAAUAUAUAUUUGGUAUAUCUGCUAUGAGGAUGCUCUUGAUCUUUGUUUUUAUAGUAUUUGAGGCGGUAAGUAUUGUUGAUGAGUUGACUGCAGAGAGUUAGUCGAGUUCCUGACUUGUUAUCAGGUGGUUAUAUAAAUGUGGUUGCUGCAAUUACAGAUAAAAUGAUAGAUUUGAUGCUAAAAUGCGUUGGUUUAGUCUCCUUAGUUUGUCAUGUUAUGUGGAAAUUUAGUUCUUUUUGUUUCAUAUGGAUGCUCCAUAAUUUGUGAGAAUUAUCUGUUGAAGUGGAAGGCAGUUGAAAAUCACAAAGGGUUAUAUACGUAAGGAGUUUUUAGAUACAGUAGUAACCUGAGUUGGGAUACUUUUAAUUUAUAGACUUUUGGGCGUAAGUUUGAAAGUAAAACGCGUUUGAGAUUUUGCAGAACUGAAGUUUAAAAAUAUUAGGUAAACUUGAGGUGUUGUUUUAGAUAGUAACUCCGUAUUUCUACAUUAUUUAUCACUUUUGCGAUUAUCCUUUAUUUCAUGGAUAUUUAAUAUUGUUUGUGUGUGAAUUUAGACCGUGUACGAUCAUGACACAUUCAGCAUGGAUGACAAAAUGGGAGAAGCAGAAUUCAGCAUAAAAGAAUAUCUGGAGGCUUUGAGGAUGAAACUGGAACCCAUCCCCAGUGGUACUGUAAUAACAAGAGUAUUGCCUAGCAGGUCAAACUGCCUAGCUGAGGAGAGCCGGGUGAGCUGGAGGGAUGGCCGUGUUAUCCAAGAAAUGUGCCUGAGAUUGAAAAAUGUCGAAUGCGGUGAAGUCGAACUCGAACUGCAUUGGAUUGAUCUUCCUGGCUGCAAAGGCUUAUAGGUUAUAUAAAUCUUAUUUUUCUGCUUGAUGUUGUUAUCUGUAGGCUGUGGGCUGUUCUUGAGUGGCUCGUGUCAGUUUCUUGGAGGAGUUUUUCUGUAGAUGAAGAUGACGAAUUGACCUUGUACCCAAUAUUUACCUGUUUGUACAAGGUUUUUAUCCUAACAUAUAUACACGGAGCAAUUUUUGUUCUUUUAGCAUUCUGUAAAUUCAAGUGAGUUGAGUCUCACAUUGAACCGGAUAAAUAUCAAAUGGUUUUAUCUGGAUUCAUAUGCAGAUUAAUUGGCAAAACUAAUGAUUUAGCAGUCGAAGUUGGCACGUUUUAUUGAAUAAAUAAACUCACUGAACUAAUUUUUAUUUUUAAAUUGGGUUGUUCCGUUAAAAAAGGUUGACGGACGUUAAUUUUUUAUCUACGUGGACGUAAAAAAAAGGGGGGGAAAUGACAUAGAAAAUAAAAGACAGCAUAAAAAAUAAAAAAUAUUGCUUAUGUGGCAAAAAAAAAACUUGAAAAUAAAAACAAAAAAAUCAAAAUAUUUUUUUACAAAACAGAUCUAACCAUCUUCUUUAUUUGAUUCCUUUUAUUCUUCAUCAACACAGAUCUAACCAAAACAGAUGAACAUACAACCCAUAUAUAAAUACACAAAAUCAAAAUCAAAAUUUUCAUCUUCCCUUUUAUCAAAAUCUUCAUCUUCCCCAAAUUUUCAUCAAAUUACACAACAACCAAUUCUUUAAAAUUAUAAACUCACAGAUAAAAGCAAUUCGAAUUAAUACAAUGAUGACACAUCCAACAAAAUCCAAAAAGCAAAUAACAUGAUGAAAUGAUUAAUUGCCUUGUUAAUAUUUGCAUUGGAAUGAUAUGCCAAUGCCAGGAAUGAUUAAUUGUCUUGAGCUUACUGAAUUAUUUUAUUUCAAUUAUCCAUUUUGUUCCAGGGAAAUUUCUUCACUGAUUUCGAGGGAUGAGAAGAUACUGGAUCUGGAAGAACAGGAGCAAGCUAUAUUUUUUAUGUUUUCUUCUGAAAUUUAUUUUAUCAAACCUUGAUUACAUCAUAAUUUUGAAUGGGGGCACAGAUUAGAGAUUUGAAAAUCUACAUUGAAGCUCAAAGGACACUCUCUGGCAUGACGGAUUCAGAUGACAUCAAGGGCGGGACACUUCUAACGGUACAAUCUAAUCAGUCUUCCCCCAGCACUCCUAAAAGGCGAACAAAGUCUGGUCGAAAACGCAAUUAGAUGAUCGCAAUUUCUGAUUUCCAGAGUUUGCGUAAUGCUGUUGAAAGUUGUUAUCAUGUUUUAUUUUAUCGUUUUGAAUCAAUUUUUUUGCAAAAAUUUGUUUUUUUUUUCAUGUCAUUUUCUUCUUUUUUUUCUACGUCAGCGCCACGUAGAUAAAAAAUUAAUGUCUGUCAACUUUUUUUAACGGAAUGACUCAAUUUGAAAAUAAAAAUUAAUUCAGUGAAUUAAUUUAAAAUAUUAAAAGUUCAAUCAAGUAUUCAAUAUAACGUGCCAACUUCGGUGGCUAAAUCAUUAGUUUUGCCCAAAUUAAUUAGUAUAUUAUCUUUUGAUUUAUGUUUGUGCCCUAUGUAUCUCGAUUGAAGUGUUGAGCAGGGGCUAGUUUGUAAUACUUUUGGGCUUUGAUUGUGAAGAAUUUAAACCCAGUCUCCUUGGGUUAAUUUGUAAUUCUUCUGGCUUUCUAAACACACACAAAAUGAUUCAAACUUCAACAGUUAAACCCAAAUAACAAAUUUACCCCUAUUAUAUCACCUCUAAUCUUGUCUAAAAUAAGUCCAGUUAGACUUUAUUCAAGCCCAAACAUGACAAAAAUUAAACAACACUUGUGUUUAAGGCAGACUAUGUAAACUACACUUAUGUGCUAAAUGGUCUUAUAUUCAUAAACCCUUGUCCUGAAUCAUGCCAUGCUAUGAUACCAACAAUAUGUUGGUUUAGUGGUAUAUAGGUUGUUUAAUUUGAUUUUGGGUUCAAUUUAAACUCACAACCCAUAGUUGGUAGUAACUCUACGUUCUAAACAAUACUUGCAAAGAAUUCCCGAAUUUCAACCCCGACAUAAAUGCGUGUAAUAAUUGUUAGCACAAUAUAUCAUAUUAAGAGUUUGAGAUACUUUAUCUACCUUCCCUUUGUUGAACACAAAAAGAAGAAAAGAAUCAUGCUAUCAUUUGAUUGGGGUUGACAAGUUUUAUUAAUACUAAAACUUCAAAAACACACCCAAAUUUAUUAGGGGGUUUGACAUCGGUUAAGUCGGACAGGAAUUUUGAACAGAAAAAUUGAAUCGAAAGAACAAAAUCAAUUUGUUCCCGCGAACAAUUGUACAACACAAUUAAUUUGUUUGCAAUAACAAAUUCAUUUUGUUCUUCUGGUCUAAUUUUUCAUUCCAAAAUCCCUGUCCGCACAGAGUUAUUAUUUUAUCAUAUUUUUCUUUUGACAAGUCAUAUGCCACGUGGAUCCGUCACGAAUUGACCGGUCAAAACGGGACCACCAUGGCCACGUGGCUCUCUCUGCAAAAUCUAACUGGAGGGACCACUUUCCUCUUCAAAAAAAUACUAAAAAUCAUAAAAAUUAUCCAACUCAUAUACUUUAUACAUAAUUAUUGUUGAUACCAAGUUAUGAAAUGUAUUUUUGUGGUACAAAAAAGGUAUUUGAGGCAAGUUGUUGGGUCAAAAUAAAAAUAUAGGACAAAAAAUUUGGCAUCUCCAAUGCAUCAACAUCCCCUGUGGUUCAUAAAAAUCACAUUCCACAAAUAAUGGUAUUAGUGCCACUUUUGUUUAUGCAUUACCACGCAAAUUCUUGAUUAGAAAAAUAAAAAAGUGUUUUUAAGAAAUAUUAUUAUUUUAAAAUUCAUUGAAGAGAGAGAGAGAGAGAUAAACACAUUAAUAUUUAAUGUAAGAUUAAUUACACUCCCUCCAUUUCGUUUUAUUUGUCUUUUUAGAAAGUUUUCUUAGUUUCUUUUUAUCUGUCGUAGAUUACAACAAAAGAUUUAUGACAUAGUUUUCUACAUUAUCCAUACAUUAUAAGAAUAAUAUUGAGAUUUUAGAUCAAAUUUGAUCAAUCUGACAAAGCAUUAAUUAUAUUAUUUUUUUAUUUUUGUGUUUUUACCUAAAAAGUCAAUUUAAAAAGAAUGCAGAGUAAGAAAAACUAAUUCUGAUUUAUUGAAACUUACAAACGACAAAUAAAAAAAAUAAAUUUUAUUUUUUAAAACGGGCAAAACAAAUCAGAGAAUAAGAAACCAAAAAUGAGUAAAUUAAAAUACUCAAAUGCUAUAUAUAUAUAGGCCACGGAUCCAAUUCGGGAGUCCAGACUUUCUUAAAUUACGGAUUUUUUUUUAAAUAACUAAAAAAAAGUUUUAAUAUUUUAUGGAACUAAAUUUUUUAUAUAAUACAGUGUUUUGGCUGUGAUUUGAAUACACAUAACAAAACAGGUCUGAUGUGUAUCCAAAUCACAGCAAUAACAAUGUAUUAUGUAAAAAUUUCAGUUCCAUAAAAUAUUAANNNNNNNNNNNNNNNNNNNNNNNNNNNNNNNNNNNNNNNNNNNNNNNNNNNNNNNNNNNNNNNNNNNNNNNNNNNNNNNNNNNNNNNNNNNNNNNNNNNNCAAUAAGAGUAUGCUAUAAAAGGAUAAGACACAAAAAUGAGUUAAAUUAAAAAAAAAAUCCUUUAUACUUUUUGAAAACAUAAAUUAAUCCCCAUAUGUAAUAAAUAAUAUAGCAAUGCCUGCAAUUUAAACAUAGUUUAUCUUGUUGCUUCUACUACCUUUAUUUCAUUUUUAUUUAAAUUUUAAGAGAAAAUAUAAACAUAGUUUAUCUUGUUGCUUCUACUACCUUUAUUUCAUUUUUAUUUAAAUUUUAAGAGAAAAUAUAAAAAAUAAGAAAUGUAAUUAAUGUCUUGUUUAAUGAAUCAAAUUGAGUAUAAAAUUUUAAUAUUAUUAUUUUAAAAUUCAUUGAAUAGAGAGAGAGAAAAACAAAUUAAUAUUUAAUGUAAGAUUAAUUACACUCCCUCCAUUUCAUUUUAUUUGUCUUUUUAGAAAGUUUUUUUUAUUUCUUUUUAUUUGUCGUUUGUAGAUUAUAACAAAAGAUUUAUGACAUAAUUUUCUACAUUAUCCAUACAUUAUAAGAAUAAUAUUGAGAUUUUAUAUCAAAUUUGAUCAAUCUGACAAAGCAUUAAUUAUAUUUUUUUAAUUUUUAUGUUUUCACCUAAAAAGUCAAUUUAAAAAAAAUAAAGAGUAAGAAAAACUAAUUCUGGUUUAUUGAAACUUAUAAACGACAAAUAAAAAGAAAUAAAUUUUAAAAUACUCAAAUGCUAUAUAUAUAUAUAUAUAUAUAUAUACUUUUUGAAAACAUAAAUUCCCCCAUGCAAGUAAAAAUAUUAGCAAUGUGUGCAAAUUAAACAUAGUGUUUGGGGAUUUUGGAAUUCCAAGGGAGUUUAUGAGGAAGGAGCCUGACACGCCAAUCUUUGCCUCUCCCUCCUCACCCACGCACCCACCCAUAUGCUUUCAUCAUUCUUUUCAAAGCAUGCUUCUGUGGGUUUUCAGCACUCCUAUGGCAUAUCCUUUGAUUUUAUUCUUCCUCCAAUGAACCGGCCGGGUCUUGUAAUUUAUAGCCGCCAAUCAGAGUUAGACAUGAUAAUGUUGUAGAGAAGUAUUUAAAAAACCAAUGAAAUUUUUAACUAAACUAUAAUCCUAACCCUUGAUAGUAUUCCCUCGGUCCCCUAAUUUGUACUCCAUGAAGUUUUACAUAUUUUUAUUUUUUUAAAAUUAUUUGACCUACGUUUUAUAUAAUUUAGAAGAAUUAAUUAUAAUUUUUUUAAAAUUACCUCUUAUGAAAAAAUAUUUCAGAUAAAAGAGAAUACGAGAUAAGUAUAUAGUAAAAAAUAUUAUAGACAAUUAAUAGUAUAUUUAAUGCUAUAUAAUUAUUUCUUUAAUUCUUCUACACAACUCUAAAACGUCAUAUAUUACGGGACAAAGGGAAUAUUAUCUUAGCAAAAAUGAUAACAUUCUGAUUAACAUUUUAAGGAACAUUUAUUAACACUAUUCUAACAACAAUUAACAUUUUAAAUGACAAUAUUUAUUAUUCUAACAAUAUUAUUUUUUAUUCUAACAAUAUCAAUUACCUAAAAUUAUCUAUCAAAUUAAAUGAGCUAACAAAUCUUAACACUAGGCUACUAGCAAUAGCCUAAUGCAAAGAUUUGUUAACAAUAAUAUUAGUGAGUGUUACAUUGGGUUAACUAAAAAGUUAUUGUCAAUUACUUAUUUUUUUUCUUAAAAAACUCAAAAAAUAAUAAGUGUAUUUUUACUUGUAUAUAUAAGCUGCCAUAAGAUAUAUAAAUUUAAAACUUUCCCUCCCAUUAAAAAGUAUUAUUUUCUCUGUUUUGAAAUAUAAGAUCAAAAUUAAUGUGAUAAAUUUAACAUUAAAAAUAAUAAUAAAAUUUGGAAUUAGUAGUGCAUGGUACUCUUUAGAUAGUUCGUUUGACUAAUUCAAUAUUGAAUUAAAAUUUCAUCCACUCUCAUGUCUCAAUGUAUACACAUAAGCGGUGUUAAGAUCAUGACAGCUCAUUAAUAAAAUAUUUAUACUAGACAUUAUUAUUCUUAUUAUUUUAAUAACGUAUCGAUAUUAACACCACUCAUGUAUACACUGCCGAUGUAUCAAAAAACUUGCAUAUAAUAGUAAAUAGAUUAGGGCCUGGGCCUCAUGCUGGAAUUGGAUCACUUGGGUAAACAGACCCACACAAGGCCCAUCCAAUGGCAACAAAAGUAUUAGUGCAUUAUGGUUGGAAGUGGACAAAGUGCAAUGGCCUACCUUAUGAAAGUACCUUUCCAUUCAUGUUCCUGUUCUUUAGUUGUUCCCCACCCCAUUUUAGCCCCCAUUUAAGCAAUUGGGGAACCUUUUCCAACCCAAAUUGAUAAAGAAGUUAAAGCCAAUAAUAUGAAUUUGGAUCCCCUCCAUUAAAUUUUACUUUUAAUUUUAUCUAAUACAUCAUAUUUUUAUAAUUGUGAAUAGGUCAAUUAAUUUAUUAUAUUGAAUAGGAUAAUUAUUUCAAAAAUAAAAGUAAUCCAACAGUUUUUCACAUUUGACGAGCACGUGAAUUUUUCAUCAAUAUCUAAUUUUAAUAGAUGAAAAUUCUUUUAGACUUUUAUAGAUGAAAAUAUUUUUUAUGUUUCAAUUUUUUUGUAGAAUUAAUGUUAAUNNNNNNNNNNNNNNNNNNNNNNNNNNNNNNNNNNNNNNNNNNNNNNNNNNNNNNNNNNNNNNNNNNNNNNNNNNNNNNNNNNNNNNNNNNNNNNNNNNNNUAUAUAUAUAUAUAUAUAUAUAUAUAUAUAACGCAAUUUUAAUAAAUAAUACUAAAAAAGAGAGUAAAAAUAAGUUUUUAUUUUAUUCACAAUGGGCCUCACGUAAGUACACUAAAGAUUCUUUAUUUUUUUAUAAAAAAAUAGUGAGAGUAACAUAGACUUUAUAUAAUAUUUUGCAUUUCAAUACUAUACUUCAGAAAUUUGUAUAGGACUUUUUUUUUUUUACUCGAGUCAUUUUUUUGGGAUAGAAAAUACUACUAAUAUAUAACAAUACGUAUCCUCUUACUCAUCUUAUAAAAAAGGAAACACAAAUAUUGGAGAAGGAAAAGGGAAUAAUUACUAUACAAGUACAACCAUAGGCCAUCAAUAGACCACGAGCUAAAAAGGCGAAUCCAAGAGGAAAAAUGAAAAGAGAACAGGCUCUUUUGAUAGGAAAUUCACUUUCUUGGGGAAGGGUUAAAUAUCUGGCGAGGUUUUUGGUCGGACUAAACCUAAUGCAUCUUUUCAGCGAAUCAUACGAAACGAACUAAAAAGAAUCGAUUAUAACGACAAUUUUAUCUGUCGAUAUAGAAUAGAAAGUUGUUUUUUUAUGUUAUAACGACGAAUAAAAUUAACCGUCAUUAUAACCGAUUCAUUUUUAGUUAGCUCUCUAUAGUUCGCUGGAAAGAGUCAUCCUACGUUUAUAUAUUCAUAUUAUAGCAAAUUAAUAUAUUUAUAUUAUUGCUAAUUAAGAAUAUCAAUGACUUGUGUUUGUUUGAUUACUACUGUUUGCAGCAUUUGUGAUGAUAGCAUUUGGUGCGUUGUGUUUGAGGCUCAAAUGAUGUGUUUGUGAGUUAAAUAAUACUAAACGAAUAAGAUUUUCAAGUGCGUUUGAAAUUUCAAACGCGACAAACGCCAAGCAAUCAAACAUACACUUGGGACUUGUUCUUGAUAUGUUUUUUUACAACAUUUGAACUGUGUUUGGAACUCUAUAACACCACCAUUUUCUGGUGUAAUAAGCUUAUUGCAUUUUUGAUUAAAGGAAGUUGGAAAAGUGAGUUUGUGAAACGAACAAAAUCUUCAAAUGCGUUCAGUGUUAGAGCCAGCCUUGUGGUCGAGUCUCUUUCUAACCAAACAAUUACUAAUACACCUAUUGUGAUUCCUAAUACAGGAGUAAAAGUAGGGAUAAGCAUCCAUAUGAUCCCAUAUACCUCUUUUAAGGAUUCCAAUCUAAAAAAAGAAUUGAUAGCUUGUACUUCUGUUGUAUCUAUUAUCAUUUUAACGAUCAACUUCUCCCAUAAUUAUAUCUAUGCUACCUAGUAUCGUCAUAAUAUCAGCCAAUUUCAUUCUUUUAACUAACUGAGGAAGGAUUUGCAAAUUGAUAAAACCCGGUGGUCGGAUUUUCCAUCUCCAAGGAAAAACACCCCUAUCCCCUAUCAGAAAAAUCCCCAAUUCUCCCUUGGGGGCUUCGACUCUCACAUAAAGUUCUUGCUUUGAUAAUUCAAAAGUCGGAGAAGGUUCUUGUGGUCGAGUUCCGUCGUUUCGAAGAAAAAAAAAAGUAAAAGAAAAGAAGAAAGAAUAAAAAAAAUAUCAAAAAAGCUCCUCAAACAAGUACUCACAGACACACCACCACCUCCAACCAAAAUGCUUUUUUCCUAAACUUUAUACAAACCGAUUAAUCCCAUUGAAGAUAGAGCCACGUACCAAUUUAUAUCCAUCAAUCAAACCCAUCCCUCA